GGUUAAGCGACUAAGCGUACACGGUGGAUGCCCUGGCAGUCAGAGGCGAUGAAGGGCGUGCUAAUCUGCGAUAAGCGCCGGUAAGGUGAUAUGAACCGUUAUAACCGGCGAUACCCGAAUGGGGAAACCCAGUGUGAUUCGUCACACUAUCAUUAACUGAAUCCAUAGGUUAAUGAGGCGAACCGGGGGAACUGAAACAUCUAAGUACCCCGAGGAAAAGAAAUCAACCGAGAUUCCCCCAGUAGCGGCGAGCGAACGGGGAGGAGCCCAGAGCCUGAAUCAGCAUGUGUGUUAGUGGAAGCGUCUGGAAAGGUGCGCGAUACAGGGUGACAGCCCCGUACACAAAAGCGCAUGUGCUGUGAGCUCGAUGAGUAGGGCGGGACACGUGGUAUCCUGUCUGAAUAUGGGGGGACCAUCCUCCAAGGCUAAAUACUCCUGACUGACCGAUAGUGAACCAGUACCGUGAGGGAAAGGCGAAAAGAACCCCGGCGAGGGGAGUGAAAAAGAACCUGAAACCGUGUACGUACAAGCAGUGGGAGCACAGGUUUACCUGUGUGACUGCGUACCUUUUGUAUAAUGGGUCAGCGACUUAUAUUCUGUAGCAAGGUUAACCGUAUAGGGGAGCCGGAGGGAAACCGAGUCUUAACCGGGCGUUAAGUUGCAGGGUAUAGACCCGAAACCCGGUGAUCUAGCCAUGGGCAGGUUGAAGGUUGGGUAACACUAACUGGAGGACCGAACCGACUAAUGUUGAAAAAUUAGCGGAUGACCUGUGGCUGGGGGUGAAAGGCCAAUCAAACCGGGAGAUAGCUGGUUCUCCCCGAAAGCUAUUUAGGUAGCGCCUCGUGAAUUCAUCUCCGGGGGUAGAGCACUGUUUCGGCUAGGGGGCCAUCCCGGCUUACCAACCCGAUGCAAACUGCGAAUGCCGGAGAAUGUUAUCACGGGAGACACACGGCGGGUGCUAACGUCCGUCGUGAAGAGGGAAACAACCCAGACCGCCAGCUAAGGUCCCAAAGUCAUGGUUAAGUGGGAAACGAUGUGGGAAGGCCCAGACAGCCAGGAUGUUGGCUUAGAAGCAGCCAUCAUUUAAAGAAAGCGUAAUAGCUCACUGGUCGAGUCGGCCUGCGCGGAAGAUGUAACGGGGCUAAACCAUGCACCGAAGCUGCGGCAGCGACGCUGAUGCGUUGUUGGGUAGGGGAGCGUUCUGUAAGCCUGCGAAGGUGACCUGUGAGGGUUGCUGGAGGUAUCAGAAGUGCGAAUGCUGACAUAAGUAACGAUAAAGCGGGUGAAAAGCCCGCUCGCCGGAAGACCAAGGGUUCCUGUCCAACGUUAAUCGGGGCAGGGUGAGUCGACCCCUAAGGCGAGGCCGAAAGGCGUAGUCGAUGGGAAACGGGUUAAUAUUCCCGUACUUGGUGUUACUGCGAAGGGGGGACGGAGAAGGCUAUGUUGGCCGGGCGACGGUUGUCCCGGUUUAAGCGUGUAGGUGUGUGUUCCAGGUAAAUCCGGUUCACUUUAACACUGAGGCGUGACGACGAGGCACUACGGUGCUGAAGCAACAAAUGCCCUGCUUCCAGGAAAAGCCUCUAAGCAUCAGGUAACACGAAAUCGUACCCCAAACCGACACAGGUGGUCAGGUAGAGAAUACCAAGGCGCUUGAGAGAACUCGGGUGAAGGAACUAGGCAAAAUGGUGCCGUAACUUCGGGAGAAGGCACGCUGACACGUAGGUGAAGUGAUUUACUCAUGGAGCUGAAGUCAGUCGAAGAUACCAGCUGGCUGCAACUGUUUAUUAAAAACACAGCACUGUGCAAACACGAAAGUGGACGUAUACGGUGUGACGCCUGCCCGGUGCCGGAAGGUUAAUUGAUGGGGUCAGCGCAAGCGAAGCUCCUGAUCGAAGCCCCGGUAAACGGCGGCCGUAACUAUAACGGUCCUAAGGUAGCGAAAUUCCUUGUCGGGUAAGUUCCGACCUGCACGAAUGGCGUAAUGAUGGCCAGGCUGUCUCCACCCGAGACUCAGUGAAAUUGAACUCGCUGUGAAGAUGCAGUGUACCCGCGGCAAGACGGAAAGACCCCGUGAACCUUUACUAUAGCUUGACACUGAACAUUGAGCCUUGAUGUGUAGGAUAGGUGGGAGGCUUUGAAGUGUGGACGCCAGUCUGCAUGGAGCCGACCUUGAAAUACCACCCUUUAAUGUUUGAUGUUCUAACGUGGACCCGUAAUCCGGGUUGCGGACAGUGUCUGGUGGGUAGUUUGACUGGGGCGGUCUCCUCCUAAAGAGUAACGGAGGAGCACGAAGGUUGGCUAAUCCUGGUCGGACAUCAGGAGGUUAGUGCAAUGGCAUAAGCCAGCUUGACUGCGAGCGUGACGGCGCGAGCAGGUGCGAAAGCAGGUCAUAGUGAUCCGGUGGUUCUGAAUGGAAGGGCCAUCGCUCAACGGAUAAAAGGUACUCCGGGGAUAACAGGCUGAUACCGCCCAAGAGUUCAUAUCGACGGCGGUGUUUGGCACCUCGAUGUCGGCUCAUCACAUCCUGGGGCUGAAGUAGGUCCCAAGGGUAUGGCUGUUCGCCAUUUAAAGUGGUACGCGAGCUGGGUUUAGAACGUCGUGAGACAGUUCGGUCCCUAUCUGCCGUGGGCGCUGGAGAACUGAGGGGGGCUGCUCCUAGUACGAGAGGACCGGAGUGGACGCAUCACUGGUGUUCGGGUUGUCAUGCCAAUGGCACUGCCCGGUAGCUAAAUGCGGAAGAGAUAAGUGCUGAAAGCAUCUAAGCACGAAACUUGCCCCGAGAUGAGUUCUCCCUGAGACUUAGAGUCUCCUGAAGGAACGUUGAAGACGACGACGUUGAUAGGCCGGGUGUGUAAGCGCAGCGAUGCGUUGAGCUAACCGGUACUAAUGAACCGUGAGGCUUAACCUU
rnacentral:rRNA from 1 species